ACUUCUUACCUGAAGGCCCUGGCUCUCCUCUAGAGGCCUCUCCUCUCACACAUCUCAGACCUAGGGGCUGGGAGGUGACACUGGUACUCCCAAUGCCAACACUGCUUUUAUCCUUAAGUCAAAGUUCCACUCCCUUAAGACUCAUGGCCUCCAGCAGGGUCACCUCAGGGCCUUUUCAUAUUUUACUGACAUCCUGGUCACUCUUCCUCUUUCACUGCCCUCUUGGGCAUCUGGAUUAUAGUUCUCCUCUCUUCUCCAAGUCCUACAGAAUCCCAAGAGACUUCGGUGACCCUAGGGACAAUUACCAAACACCAUAGCCUUACAGCUUCCUGACUUUUCCACCCCCAAUAGUCUCCACCUCUUUGUGCUCUGGCCAUACACUCUGAGAUAACAUCAUAAACCUUGUCACCAACUCAGAACUGCUUCCCUUCUGCAGCUGAAGCUGUGAUGACCACUAUGGAGGGACAGUGAGAUGGCUUAGGAGGUUGAGCUCCACUGGAUCCUAAACAACCUCCCAUUUUCCAAACUAUGUCCUAGAAGAGAGGUUCUUAAAUAUUAAUGAUUUAUUCUAAUCACCUGGGGAUCUUGUUAAAAGUCAGACUCUGAUUAGGGGCAUCUGGUGUGAGACCUGAGUUUCUGCAGCUCUAACCAGCUUCUAGGUGAUGGCCAUGCCUCCUGACCUCACUUUCAGUCGCAGAGAGUGAAGUGUCCAUGAGAUGUGGCUUCCCUGUGCUUCCUAUUUUUCCUUGAGAAGAGCCUGCCACUGCUUCCUUGAGCCAUCAUCAGGACCCAGGAACCCACCCAACUGGAGACCUAUCUCAAGGAGUCCACACAACUGUUCCAAUGUAUCCUGGACUUGGAUGACCAGCAGGCCUCAGGGAGAACUGAAUCACCCAUAGCUUUGCUUCCUAAAGCUGUUGCUAUAAUUCAUCCUCAUCUGAAGGUGCCAAAGAGUGAAUCUUCAGUCUGGUGAGGUUAUAAGGUGACAAGACUGGUGGUGUAGGAGGACCUCUGACUGACUAAUAAAAUUUUUCACUGGGUUGUGUGGUUGUUCUAUUUUACAACUCCUAUCUGCAAAGUUCUGUAUGUAUUUUAUUUCUGCCAAACUUGAGAAAACUCUUU